CGACUUCCACGCGGGUGCCCGCCGGCAGCGGGCUGAGAGGGAGCUGACGCCGCUCCGACCGCCGAACCUGAUCCGGGUCAUGCCGGCGAAGGAAGUGAGGAUCCGACGUGA
rnacentral:ncRNA from 1 species